GAUGAACGCUGGCGGCGUGCUUAACACAUGCAAGUCGAACGGGAUCCAUCAGGCUUUGCUUGGUGGUGAGAGUGGCGAACGGGUGAGUAAUGCGUGACCGACCUGCCCCAUACACCGGAAUAGCUCCUGGAAACGGGUGGUAAUGCCGGAUGCUCCAGUUGAUCGCAUGGUCUUCUGGGAAAGCUUUCGCGGUAUGGGAUGGGGUCGCGUCCUAUCAGCUGGGCGGCGGGGUAACGGCCCACCGUGGCUUCGACGGGUAGCCGGCCUGAGAGGGCGACCGGGCACAUUGGGACUGGGAUACGGCCCAGAAUCCUACGGGGGGCAGCAGUGGGGAAUAUUGCACAAUGGGCGCAAGCCUGAUGCAGCGACGCCGCGUGAGGGAUGGAGGCCUUCGGGUUGUAAACCUCUUUUAUCGGGGAGCAAGCGAGAGUGAGUUUACCCGUUGAAUAAGCACCGGCUAACUACGUGCCAGCAGCCGCCGUAACAC
rnacentral:rRNA from 1 species